UUCAGAGCAAGUCCCUGACCUCUCUCAGCCUCAGGACCCGUUCGUGAGAUGAGAGGACACUCCUGCACCCUCCAGGGCAGCUGCAAGAAGCAUAAGGGAAAUCGCAUGGAAAAAAGAUACUCUUUUCAACAAAUGGUGCUGAGUUCGAGACCAGCCUGGGCAACAUGGCGAAACCCCCAUCUCUACAAAAAAUACAACAAUUAGCCAGGCAUGGUGGUGGCGGUGCAUGCCUGUAGUCCCAGCUACUCAGGAGGCUGAGGCGGGAGGAUCACUUGAGCCUGGAGGUCGAUGCUUCAGUGAGCCAAGAUGGUGCCACUGCACUCCGGUUUGGGCCACAGAGCUAAACUGUGUCUCAAAAAAGGAAAAAACAAACAAAACAAACGAUGCUGGGACAAUUGGAUAUUCAUCUUCUAAAAAAUGAACUUGAAUCCAUGCUUUGUGCCAUAGAAAAAAUUUAACUCAAACAGAUCACAGGUCUAACUGUAAAACCUAGAACUACAAAACUUCUAGAAUAAAAAAACAUAAGAGGAAACCUUUGUGACUUUGGGUUAGACAAAGAUUUCUUAGAUGUGGCCCUAAAAGAACAGCCCAUAAAAUAAAUGGAUAAAUUGAACUUCUUGGAAAUUUUAAAACUUCUGCUUUUUAGGAAAUACUGUUAAGAUAAUGAAAAAAUAAGCCACAGAUUGGGAGAAAC
rnacentral:lncRNA from 10 species